GGGCAUGUAGUGUAGGGGUUAUCGCGUCCGCUUCGCAUGCUUGAUGAGUGUGUAGUAUGCGGAAGGUCUCCGGUUCAAUUCCGGACUUGUCCA